rnacentral:rRNA from 1 species
UACGUAGGGGGCAAGCGUUGUCCGGAUUUAUUGGGCGUAAAGAGCUCGUAGGUGGUUCGGUAAGUCGGAUGUGAAAUCUCCAGGCUCAACCUGGAGGGGUCAUUCGAUACUGCCGUGACUAGAGGUCGGUAGGGGAGUGUGGAAUUCCUGGUGGAGCGGUGAAAUGCGCAGAUAUCUGGAGGAACACCCGUAGCGAAGGCGGCACUCUGGGCCGAUACUGACACUGAGGAGCGAAAGCGUGGGGAGCGAACAGG